rnacentral:misc_RNA from 1 species
GAAAUGCGAUAAGUAAUGUGAUUUGCAGAAUUCAGUGAAUCAUCGAAUCUUUGAACGCACCUUGCGCUCCUUGGUAUUCCUUGGAGCAUGCCUGUUUGAGUAUCAUGAAAUCUUCAAAGUAAAUCUUUUGUUAACUCAAUUGGUUUCUACUUUGGUAUUGGAGGUCUUUGCAGCUUCACACCUGCUCCUCUUUGUUCAUUAACUGGAUCUCAGUGUUAUGCUUGGUUCCACUCGGCGUGAUAAGUUAUCUAUCGCUGAGGACACUGUAAAAGGUGGCCAAGGUAAAUGCAGAUGAACCGCUUCUAAUAGUCCAUUGACUUGGACAAUACUUUUAUGAUCUGAUCUCAAAUCAGGUAGGACUACCCGCUGAACUUAAGC